AUUGAACGCUGGCGGCAUGCUUUACACAUGCAAGUCGAACGGCAGCGGGGUAGUGCUUGCACUACUGCCGGCGAGUGGCGAACGGGUGAGUAAUAUAUCGGAACGUACCGAGUAAUGGGGGAUAACCAAUCGAAAGAUUGGCUAAUACCGCAUACGUCCUGAGGGAGAAAGCGGGGGAUCGCAAGACCUCGCGUUAUUCGAGCGGCCGAUAACUGAUUAGCUAGUUGGUGGGGUAAAGGCCUACCAAGGCGACGAUCAGUAGCGGGUCUGAGAGGACGAUCCGGCACAACGGGAAUGAGACAAGGCCCCGAAUCCUACGGGAGGCAGCAGUGGGGAAUUUUGGACAAUGGGGGCAACCCUGAUCCAGCCAUGCCGCGUGUAUGAAGAAGGCCUUCGGGUUGUAAAGUACUUUUGUUAGGGAAGAAAAGGGAAGUGCUAAUACCACUUUUUGCUGACGGUACCUAAAGAAUAAGCACCGGCUAACUACGUG
rnacentral:rRNA from 1 species